rnacentral:rRNA from 1 species
AACGAACGCUGGCGGCAGGCCUAACACAUGCAAGUCGAGCGAGGACUUCGGUCCUAGCGGCGGACGGGUGAGUAACGCGUGGGAACGUGCCCUUUGCUUCGGAAUAGCCCUGGGAAACUGGGAGUAAUACCGGAUGAGCCCUUUGGGGGAAAGAUUUAUCGGCGAAGGAUCGGCCCGCGUUGGAUUAGGUAGUUGGUGGGGUAAUGGCCUACCAAGCCGACGAUCCAUAGCUGGUUUGAGAGGAUGUUCAGCCACACUGGGACUGAGACACGGCCCAGACUCCUACGGGAGGCAGCAGUGGGGAAUCUUAGACAAUGGGGGAAACCCUGAUCUAGCCAUGCCGCGUGAGCGAUGAAGGCCUUAGGGUUGUAAAGCUCUUUCAGCUGGGAAGAUAAUGACGGUACCAGCAGAAGAAGCCCCGGCUAACUCCGUG